rnacentral:rRNA from 1 species
CCGACGGGUGAGUAACACGUAUGCAAUCCACCUGUAACAGGGGGAGUAACCCGGAGAAAUCCGGACUAAUACCCCAUAAUAUGGGCGCUCCGCAUGGAGAGUUCAUUAAAGAGAGCAAUUUUGGUUACAGACGAGCAUGCGCUCCAUUAGCCAGUUGGCGGGGUAACGGCCCACCAAGGCGACGAUGGAUAGGGGUUCUGAGAGGAAGGUCCCCCACAUUGGAACUGAGACACGGUCCAA